GGUUUCAUUGGCUCAGUGGGUUAGAGCAUGAUGCAGCCAACACCAGGGUUGUGGGUUAAAUUCCCACACAGGCCA
rfam:Salmo salar isolate Sally breed double haploid chromosome ssa17, whole genome shotgun sequence.